rnacentral:rRNA from 1 species
GAUGAACGCGGGCGGCGUGCCUAAUACAUGCAAGUCGAGCGAAUGGAUUAAGAGCUUGCUCUUAUGAAGUUAGCGGCGGACGGGUGAGUAACACGUGGGUAACCUGCCCAUAAGACUGGGAUAACUCCGGGAAACCGGGGCUAAUACCGGAUAACAUUUUAAACCGCAUGGUUCGAAAUUGAAAGGCGGCUUCGGCUGUCACUUAUGGAUGGACCCGCGUCGCAUUAGCUAGUUGGUGAGGUAACGGCUCACCAAGGCAACGAUGCGUAGCCGACCUGAGAGGGGGAGCGGCCACACUGGGACUGAGAAACGGCCCAGACUCCUACGGGAGGCAGCAGUAGGGAAUCUUCCGCUAUGGACGAAAGUCUGACGGAGCAACGCCGCGUGAGUGAUGAAGGCUUUCGGGUCGUAAAACUCUGUUGUUAGGGAAGAACAAGUGCUAGUUGAAUAAGCUGGCACCUUGACGGUACCUAACCAGAAAGCCACGGCUAACUACGUGCCAGCCGCCGCGGUAA